ACCGGUUCCCGAACGUUGGUUCUCCGGGUUCGCAGCGAGAGACCGGUCCCUGCUGGGGAGAGACCGGUCCCUCUGGGCGAAAAUUGCCCAGACCGGGCUGAGGCAAUAUUGGAUUUUUGGAGGACCUAGCUGGAUUUUGUUACAAUAGAGGGUCUAUAUGACCCCUCCACCCUCUCUUCUCCUCAUUUUUCUUCUCUCAACUCUCUCCAC
rnacentral:lncRNA from 1 species